rnacentral:rRNA from 1 species
AACGUAGGUGGCGAGCGUUAUCCGGAUUUACUGGGCGUAAAGGGUGUGCAGGCGGGGGUCCAAGUGGUGUAUGAAAUCGCCCGGCUUAACCGGGCAGGGUUAUGCCAGACUGGACUUCUAGAGUGCGAGAGAGGGACGUGGAAUUCCGGGUGUAGUGGUGAAAUGCGUAGAGAUCCGGAGGAACCCCAGAGGCGAAGGCGGCGUCCUGGCUCGCAACUGACGCUCAGACACGACAGCAUGGGGAGCGAACGGG